AAAUUCAUUCGAAAAAUAGGUCGCAAAAAUACAUUAGCUCUAUGUGAACCCUGACAGUGCAUUUAUCAAGUCCGAAAUAUCCAACAAGUCUGAAUUUUCGGAAAUCGGUCGGCGACUGUAGUUGCGUAAAAGUUCUUGGCCACGUGGUUUCUCAGCCUCGUUUGACUCACCGUCGAAAUGGAAGAUGCCUGAUCUGUCCGCUGAUCAUCGGCAAUGCACGACGUUGCCGGUGAAAAGGAAGCGCACUGCUAUAGAUUUGGAAACGAAGUGCUUCUAACCGAUGAGGCGAUCGGCGCAACUGUGC
rnacentral:lncRNA from 1 species